rnacentral:rRNA from 1 species
GGGUCAGUAGGUUGGUCGUGCCACCGGUACGUACUGGUCUCACUGAUUCCUCCUUCCUGAAGAACCGUAAUACCAUUAAUUUGGUGUUGCGGGGAAACAGGACUGUUAAUUUGAAAAAAUUAGAGUGUUUAAAGCAAGCUAACGCUUGAAUACAUUAGCAUGGAAUAAUGAAAUAGGACGAUCGAUCCUAUUUUGUUGGUUUCUAGGAUUGACGUA